rnacentral:tRNA from 1 species
GGAUUAAAGUUUAAUUUUUUAAAUAUCUAAAUUGCAAUUAGAAGAAUGUAAUAUAAAUCUACUAAUCUUAA